rnacentral:rRNA from 1 species
UUGACGGGACCCGCACAAGCGGUGGAUGAUGUGGUUUAAUUCGAUGACAACGACGAAAAACCUUACCCUACCUUUGACAUGUACGGAAUCCUUUAGAGAUAGAGGAGUGCUCGAAAGAGAGCCGUAACACAGGUGCUGCAUGGCUGUCGUCAGCUCGUGUCGUGAGAUGUUGGGUUAAGUCCCGCAACGAGCGCAACCCUUGUCAUUAGUUGCUACAUUCAGUUGGGCACUCUAAUGAGACUGCCGGUGACAAACCGGAGGAAGGUGGGGAUGACGUCAAGUCCUCAUGGCCCUUAUAGGUGGGGCUACACACGUCAUACAAUGGAUGGUACAAAGGGUCGCCAACCCGCGAGGGGGAGCCAAUCCCAUAAAGCCAUUCGUAGUCCGGAUCGCAGUCUGCAACUCGACUGCGUGAAGUCGGAAUCGCUAGUAAUCGUGGAUCAGAAUGUCACGGUGAAUACGUUCCCGGGUCUU